rnacentral:rRNA from 1 species
UACGUAGGGUGCAAGCGUUGUCCGGAAUUAUUGGGCGUAAAGAGCUCGUAGGCGGUUUGUCGCGUCGAAUGUGAAAACCCGGGGCUCAACCCCGGGCCUGCAUUCGAUACGGGCAGGCUAGAGUUCGGUAGGGGAGUCUGGAAUUCCUGGUGUAGCGGUGAAAUGCGCAGAUAUCAGGAGGAACACCGGUGGCGAAGGCGGGACUCUGGGCCGAUACUGACGCUGAGGAGCGAAAGCGUGGGGAGCAAACAGG